rnacentral:rRNA from 1 species
GGUUAAGCGACUAAGCGUACACGGUGGAUGCCCUGGCAGUCAGAGGCGAUGAAGGACGUGCUAAUCUGCGAAAAGCGUCGGUAAGGUGAUAUGAACCGUUAUAGCCGGCGAUGUCCGAAUGGGGAAACCCAGUGCAAUUCGUUGCACUAUCGUUAACUGAAUACAUAGGUUAACGAGGCGAACCGGGGGAACUGAAACAUCUAAGUACCCCGAGGAAAAGAAAUCAACCGAGAUUCCCCCAGUAGCGGCGAGCGAACGGGGAGCAGCCCAGAGUCUGAAUCAGCUUGUGUGUUAGUGGAACGGUCUGGAAAGUCCGACGGUACAGGGUGAUAGUCCCGUACACCAAAAUGCACAGGUUGUGAACUCGAAGAGUAGGGCGGGACACGUGGUAUCCUGUCUGAAUAUGGGGGGACCAUCCUCCAAGGCUAAAUACUCCUGACUGACCGAUAGUGAACCAGUACCGUGAGGGAAAGGCGAAAAGAACCCCGGCGAGGGGAGUGAAAAAGAACCUGAAACCGUGUACGUACAAGCAGUGGGAGCACCUUCGGGUGUGACUGCGUACCUUUUGUAUAAUGGGUCAGCGACUUAUAUUCUGUAGCAAGGUUAACCGUAUAGGGGAGCCGCAGGGAAACCGAGUCUUAACUGGGCGUUAAGUUGCAGGGUAUAGACCCGAAACCCGGUGAUCUAGCCAUGGGCAGGUUGAAGGUUGGGUAACACUAACUGGAGGACCGAACCGACUAAUGUUGAAAAAUUAGCGGAUGACUUGUGGCUGGGGGUGAAAGGCCAAUCAAACCGGGAGAUAGCUGGUUCUCCCCGAAAGCUAUUUAGGUAGCGCCUCGUGAAUUCAUCUUCGGGGGUAGAGCACUGUUUCGGCUAGGGGGUCAUCCCGACUUACCAACCCGAUGCAAACUACGAAUACCGAAGAAUGUUAUCACGGGAGACACACGGCGGGUGCUAACGUCCGUCGUGAAGAGGGAAACAACCCAGACCGCCAGCUAAGGUCCCAAAGUCAUGGUUAAGUGGGAAACGAUGUGGGAAGGCACAGACAGCCAGGAUGUUGGCUUAGAAGCAGCCAUCAUUUAAAGAAAGCGUAAUAGCUCACUGGUCGAGUCGGCCUGCGCGGAAGAUGUAACGGGGCUAAACCAUGCACCGAAGCUGCGGCAGCGACACUAUGUGUUGUUGGGUAGGGGAGCGUUCUGUAAGCCUGCGAAGGUGACCUGUGAGGGUUGCUGGAGGUAUCAGAAGUGCGAAUGCUGACAUAAGUAACGAUAAAGCGGGUGAAAAGCCCGCUCGCCGGAAGACCAAGGGUUCCUGUCCAACGUUAAUCGGGGCAGGGUGAGUCGACCCCUAAGGCGAGGCCGAAAGGCGUAGUCGAUGGGAAACAGGUUAAUAUUCCUGUACUUGGUGUUACUGCGAAGGGGGGACGGAGAAGGCUAUGUUAGCCGGGCGACGGUUGUCCCGGUUUAAGCAUGUAGGCUGGUUGUCCAGGCAAAUCCGGAUAAUCAAGGCUGAGGUGUGAUGACGAGGCACUACGGUGCUGAAGUAACAAAUGCCCUGCUUCCAGGAAAAGCCUCUAAGCAUCAGGUAACAUCAAAUCGUACCCCAAACCGACACAGGUGGUCAGGUAGAGAAUACCAAGGCGCUUGAGAGAACUCGGGUGAAGGAACUAGGCAAAAUGGUGCCGUAACUUCGGGAGAAGGCACGCUGGUGUGUAGGUGAAGUCCCUGCGGAUGGAGCUGAGACCAGUCGAAGAUACCAGCUGGCUGCAACUGUUUAUUAAAAACACAGCACUGUGCAAACACGAAAGUGGACGUAUACGGUGUGACGCCUGCCCGGUGCCGGAAGGUUAAUUGAUGGGGUUAUCCGUAAGGAGAAGCUCUUGAUCGAAGCCCCGGUAAACGGCGGCCGUAACUAUAACGGUCCUAAGGUAGCGAAAUUCCUUGUCGGGUAAGUUCCGACCUGCACGAAUGGCGUAAUGAUGGCCAGGCUGUCUCCACCCGAGACUCAGUGAAAUUGAACUCGCUGUGAAGAUGCAGUGUACCCGCGGCAAGACGGAAAGACCCCGUGAACCUUUACUAUAGCUUGACACUGAACAUUGAGCCUUGAUGUGUAGGAUAGGUGGGAGGCUUUGAAGCGUGGACGCCAGUCUGCGUGGAGCCAACCUUGAAAUACCACCCUUUAAUGUUUGAUGUUCUAACGUUGGCCCCUGACCGGGGUUGCGGACAGUGUCUGGUGGGUAGUUUGACUGGGGCGGUCUCCUCCCAAAGCGUAACGGAGGAGCACGAAGGUUAGCUAAUCCUGGUCGGACAUCAGGAGGUUAGUGCAAUGGCAUAAGCUAGCUUGACUGCGAGCGUGACGGCGCGAGCAGGUGCGAAAGCAGGUCAUAGUGAUCCGGUGGUUCUGAAUGGAAGGGCCAUCGCUCAACGGAUAAAAGGUACUCCGGGGAUAACAGGCUGAUACCGCCCAAGAGUUCAUAUCGACGGCGGUGUUUGGCACCUCGAUGUCGGCUCAUCACAUCCUGGGGCUGAAGUAGGUCCCAAGGGUAUGGCUGUUCGCCAUUUAAAGUGGUACGCGAGCUGGGUUUAGAACGUCGUGAGACAGUUCGGUCCCUAUCUGCCGUGGGCGCUGGAGAAUUGAGGGGGGCUGCUCCUAGUACGAGAGGACCGGAGUGGACGCAUCACUGGUGUUCGGGUUGUCAUGCCAAUGGCACUGCCCGGUAGCUAAAUGCGGAAGAGAUAAGUGCUGAAAGCAUCUAAGCACGAAACUUGCCCCGAGAUGAGUUCUCCCUGAGACUUUAAGUCUCCUGAAGGAACGUUGAAGACGACGACGUUGAUAGGCCGGGUGUGUAAGCGCAGCGAUGCGUUGAGCUAACCGGUACUAAUGAACCGUGAGGCUUAACCUU